rnacentral:rRNA from 2 species
AAAUUGAAGAGUUUGAUCAUGGCUCAGAUUGAACGCUGGCGGCAGGCCUAACACAUGCAAGUCGAACGGUAACAGGAAGCAGCUUGCUGCUUUGUUGACGAGUGGCGGACGGGUGAGUAAUGUCUGGGAAACUGCCUGAUGGAGGGGGAUAACUACUGGAAACGGUGGCUAAUACCGCAUAACGUCGCAAGACCAAAGAGGGGGACCUUCGGGCCUCUUG